rnacentral:rRNA from 1 species
GUGGGGAAUCUUAGACAAUGGGGGAAACCCUGAUCUAGCCAUGCCGCGUGAUCGAUGAAGGCCUUAGGGUUGUAAAGAUCUUUCAGGUGGGAAGAUAAUGACUGUACCACCAGAAGAAGCCCCGGCUAACUCCGUGCCAGCAGCCGCGGUAAUACGGAGGGGGCUAGCGUUGUUCGGAAUUACUGGGCGUAAAGCGCACGUAGGCGGAUUGGAAAGUUGGGGGUGAAAUCCCGGGGCUCAACCCCGGAACUGCCUUCAAAACUCCCAGUCUUGAGUUCGAGAGAGGUGAGUGGAAUUCCGAGUGUAGAGGUGAAAUUCGUAGAUAUUCGGAGGAACACCAGUGGCGAAGGCGGCUCACUGGCUCGAUACUGACGCUGAGGUGCGAAAGCGUGGGGAGCAAACAGGAUUAGAAACCCCGGUAGUCC